AUUGAACGCUGGCGGCAGGCCUAACACAUGCAAGUCGAGCGGAGCGGCGGACGGGUGAGUAAUGCCUAGGAAUCUGCCUGGUAGUGGGGGAUAACGUCCGGAAACGGGCGCUAAUACCGCAUACUAUCAGAUGAGCCUAGGUCGGAUUAGCUAGUUGGUGGGGUAAAGGCCUACCAAGGCGACGAUCCGUAACUGGUCGGAGGGGAUGAUCAGUCAAACUGGAACUUAGAACCGGUCCAAACUCCUCGGGGGGGCAGCAGUGGGGAAUAUUGGACAAGGGGCGAAGGCCUGAUCCAGCCAUGCCGCGUGUGUGAAGAAGGUCUUCGGAUUGUAAAGCACUUUAAGUUGGGAGGCGUUACCAACAGAAUAAGCACCGGCUAACUUCGUGCCAGCAGCGCGGUAAUUC
rnacentral:rRNA from 1 species